UACGGAGGGGGCUAGCGUUGUCCGAAGUUACUGGGCGUAAAGGGUGCGUAGGCGGGUCUUUAAGUCAGGGGUGAAAUCCUGGAGCUCAACUCCAGAACUGCCUUUGAUACUGAAGAUCUUGAGUUCGGGAGAGGUGAGUGGAACUGCGAGUGUAGAGGUGAAAUUCGUAGAUAUUCGCAAGAACACCAGUGGCGAAGGCGGCUCACUGGCCCGAUACUGACGCUGAGGCACGAAAGCGUGGGGAGCAAACAGG
rnacentral:rRNA from 1 species